UCUGACCUUUAGAAACAAGGGUUUAAAGCUCUCCUUUUCUCUCUCUAAGAGUUCUUUCUCUCUCUUGAUAGAAAUCAAUGUUUGAACUUGAUUUCAUCUUCUUGUUGUGUGGCUACUGGUCAGGGAAGGUUUGGAGCCAGCUUGUGAGCAAGAAAAGGGGGUGUUUAGUAGUAUUCUUCAGUAUCCUGCAGGGGAGUUGCCGAGAGAGAUCUUUCGAAAGGAAGGAUUUAGCAGUUCGAGAGCGGUUAAUUUACUGCGUUCUUAUUAUCUAAACCCAGGAGGGGAGUUGAAUAGAGCCAAGAAGAGCAGGUGUAUUGGCCACUCCAGGCUGAAUAUGGUGGCUUUGGAGAGUUGAUUUGGGAUGUUCUAACCUAAGUGAAAGAGGAAGAUUAGCUCUGGGUUGAAACUUAGGUUUGGUGAUCAUCUGAGGCUGAUUCUUGAGACUCUUUUGAGCCGAAUUAAGCUGAGUUGAAGCAUACAUGGAAAGCUGAUUUCAGGGGUCGUAGAAGCUGAAGUUGGCAUGCUUCAACAGGGGUAAUGAGAGGUUGCUAUGGAAAUCUGAACUAGGGUAAUUGGAAGCUUCGGAUUUCCUACAAUUGCUAGUUCAACUAGAAUCAUCGACUAAUAGGUGGCUUGGACCUCACCAGAGCAAGUGAAUCUCCCCUAUGUUCUAUAUGAUACUAUAGAACUAUUAAUAUUGAGCAAUUGAGCUAACAUGUGUUAAGUGAAGAGUAAUUGAGAGCCAUCCACGAAGGGAGAGGCUAGGGAUCGCGGCAAGGGAGUUGCGUCUAGCUAGACACAGCGUGGAGUCCUACUAGGUGAUCACCUCGCUAUUUUGAGAUGCUGACGAGGACGAUGUGUACCCCUGUAUAGAGAGACUACCACUUAUGUGUAUAUAGUUUUGGGCGACCUUGAGAUAUUUAUGGUGGUCUAGACUGAUGUAUUUACAGUUUUGGAUUUCAUCUCUUGUUGAGUUUCUGAGACUUAUACUUACUUCUUGCUAGUAGUAGUACUAUUGGUUUA